rnacentral:lncRNA from 1 species
GCCCAGUGGGUUAAUUAAUCCUACCCUGCUCAUUCAUUCUUUACUCUUUAUUCAUUAUCAUUCUUUACACUACGCCCAUUGGCGAUUCUUUAUUCGUUAACAUUCUUAAUUACUGCUAGCCAUUCUUAUUCUUUGCCAUAGUCAUUGACAACUCAUAUCUAAGGUUAUCUCUACCUUAGUCAUCUAUAGUACCCGACUCGGUCUUGAGCCAAUCAACUGCGGAUAAUCCACGCUCUGGCUGCUCAUCAGCCCCCCGCCCUCCUGAUCUAGCCGUCUGGCGGCGAACGAAUCGCACCUAACCCAACAA